GCCCGAGGCGAUUCCCUCUCCAGGGGGCCUGCCCGUGCGCCUGCUCAGGAACGUAGCCGCUUGGAACGGAACCUGGCACGCCUUAGGCCGUUUGGGGAGGGGAUGUCGGUUUCCUUUGCCUGCCUUGGGCUGCCUGCGCGU
ensembl:snoRNA small nucleolar RNA, H/ACA box 67